GGAUUGUGGCUCAGGGAUAGAGCGCUUGCUUAGCACAUGAGAGGUGCUGGGUUCAAUCCUCAGCACCA
rnacentral:tRNA from 1 species